rnacentral:rRNA from 1 species
CGAGUGGAGAGCUGAUGGCCACAAUGGGAUUGAGCACGGCCCAUAUUCUUAGGGAAGCAGCAGUAGGGAUCUUCCACAAUGGGCGCAAGCCUGAUGGAGCAACGCCGCGUGUGUGAUGAAGGNUUUCGGCUCGUAAAACACUGUUAUAAGAGAAGACGGCACUGAGAGUAACUGUUCAGUGUGUGACGGUAUCUUACCAGAAAGGAACGGCUAAAUACGUGCCAGCAGCCGCGGUAAUACGUAUGUUCCAAGCGUUAUCCGGAUUUAUUGGGCGUAAAGCGAGCGCAGACGGUUAUUUAAGUCUGAAGUGAAAGCCCUCAGCUCAACUGAGGAAUGGCUUUGGAAACUGGAUGACUUGAGUGCAGUAGAGGAAAGUGGAACUCCAUGUGUAGCGGUGAAAUGCGUAGAUAUAUGGAAGAACACCAGUGGCGAAGGCGGCUUUCUGGACUGUAACUGACGUUGAGGCUCGAAAGUGUGGGUAGCAAACAGGAUUAGAUACCCUGGUAGUCCACACCGUAAACGAUGAGUGCUAGAUGUUCGAGGGUUUCCGCCCUUGAGUGUCGCAGCUAACGCAUUAAGCACUCCGCCUGGGGAGUACGACCGCAAGGUUGAAACUCAAAGGAAUUGACGGGGACCCGCACAAGCGGUGGAGCAUGUGGUUUAAUUCGAAGCAACGCGAAGAACCUUACCAGGUCUUGACAUCCCUUGCUAAUCCUAGAAAUAGGACGUUCCCUUCGGGGACAAGGUGACAGGUGGUGCAUGGUUGUCGUCAGCUCGUGUCGUGAGAUGUUGGGUUAAGUCCCGCAACGAGCGCAACCCUUAUUAUUAGUUGCCAGCAUUCAGUUGGGCACUCUAGUGAGACUGCCGGUGACAAACCGGAGGAAGGUGGGGAUGACGUCAAAUCAUCAUGCCCCUUAUGACCUGGGCUACACACGUGCUACAAUGGCAUAUACAACGAGUCGCCAACCCGCGAGGGUGCGCUAAUCUCUUAAAGUAUGUCUCAGUUCGGAUUGUAGGCUGCAACUCGCCUACAUGAAGUCGGAAUCGCUAGUAAUCGCGGAUCAGCACGCCGCGGUGAAUACGUUCCCGGGUCUUGUACACACCGCCCGUCACACCAUGAGAGUUUGUAACACCCAAAGCCGGUGGGGUAACCUUUAGGAGCCAGCCGUCUAAGGUGA